CAGAGUUCAUGCCCUCACGGGUAGAUCUCCCACCCAUGAAUACUAUACCUUUGUUGCUUUGGCGGGCCGCUUCGACCACUGGCUCCGGCUAGUGAGUGCCCGCCAAAGGAUCCCAAAACUCUGAAUAUCAGCGUCGUCUGAGUACUAUAUAAUAGUUA
rnacentral:misc_RNA from 1 species